ensembl:snRNA U6 U6 spliceosomal RNA
GUGCUCCCUUCGGCAGUCCCUAUACUAAAACUGGAAUGAUACAGACAAGAUUAGCAUGGCCCCUGCACAAGGAUGACACUCAAAAUAUGCAGAAACUUCUAGGUCAG